ensembl:lncRNA
AAUAAGCUCCUCCCAAAUCCGUGUUUAUGUCAGGGUUCCUCAACUCUGGCCCUGGAGGUCCUGAAGAGUUCAGCUUCGAUCAAACUCUCCUGAACCAGCUGAUCAAGAUCUUGAAGAUUACUAGGGAGGAUCUGGUCAAAGCUGCUCUUUGUGACGGUGGCAUUCAGAGGCGUUCGGACCGCUACUGUACCGGCGCUGCGGUGGAGCCCGUAAUGCACCGUGCACGACCCUGCUGCUGUGAUUUUCCGGCUGUCAUUUAGUUCUGGGUACUGAGGG